rnacentral:rRNA from 1 species
UUUAAUGAGAGUUUGAUCCUGGCUCAGGACGAACGCUGGCGGCGUGCCUAAUACAUGCAAGUAGAACGCUGAAGAGAGGAGCUUGCUCUUCUUGGAUGAGUUGCGAACGGGUGAGUAACGCGUAGGUAACCUGCCUUGUAGCGGGGGAUAACUAUUGGAAACGAUAGCUAAUACCGCAUAACAAUGGAUGACACAUGUCAUUUAUUUGAAAGGGGCAAUUGCUCCACUACAAGAUGGACCUGCGUUGUAUUAGCUAGUAGGUGAGGUAACGGCUCACCUAGGCGACGAUACAUAGCCGACCUGAGAGGGUGAUCGGCCACACUGGGACUGAGACACGGCCCAGACUCCUACGGGAG